UACAGAGGGUGCAGGCGUUGUUCGGAAUCAUUGGGCGUAAAGGGCGUGUAGGCGGUCUGUUAAGUCAUGUGUGAAAUCCCUCGGCUCAACCGGGGAACGACGCAUGAAACUGACAAGCUAGAGUACCAAAGAGGGGGGUGGAAUUCCCGGUGUAGCGGUGAAAUGCGCAGAUAUCAGGAGGAACACCCGUAGCGAAGGCGGCACUCUGGGCCGGAACUGACGCUGAGGAGCGAAAGCGUGGGGAGCGAACAGG
rnacentral:rRNA from 1 species